UACGUAGGGUGCAGGCGUUAAUCGGAAUUACUGGGCGUAAAGCGUGCGCAGGCGGUUUGCUAAGACAGGUGUGAAAUCCCCGGGCUUAACCUGGGAACUGCGCUUGUAACUGGCAAGCUAGAGUGUGGCAGAGGGGGGUGGAAUUCCAGGUGUAGCAGUGAAAUGCGUAGAGAUCAUGAGGAAGACCAGUGGCGAAGGCGGGUCUCUGGACAGUUCCUGACACUGAGACACGAAGGCCAGGGGAGCAAACGGG
rnacentral:rRNA from 1 species